AUCACGAAGGCAGGAGUGUGGCUGACGGCUGUGGUGAUGGGAGAGGGGAACUACAGUUCAGGUUGUAGGGUUUCCCUGUGCUACAUGGAAUGAAUCACGAAGAUGGAUAGUGAUGACAGCAGAGUGGAAGGGAUCAGUGUCAGAGAAAGAGACAGACAGACAGACAGAGAGAAAGCUGCUGCAGCCUCCACACCUGUGGCUCUGUCUGUCACUGAGAGUGUGGUCUCUCCAGAGCACACCUGGACACUUUCUGAGUUGGUGCCACCCCACCCCCCCAGAGGACACCUGGACACUUUCUGAGUUGGUGCCACCCC